UUACAGGUGAUGCUUACACAGACCUUGGAAGAGAUUCUAUAUCUCCCGCUUAUAGUUCAAUAAAAGGCCCUUUCUCUAAUAUCACUAAACUUCGUACCUUAGGAACAACUGUGAAAUCCAACAGCUUGCCUUCUUGUAUGACAGAGAACCACUGCCUAGGAGUGGUGCUGCCCACAGUGGUCUUUAUGGAACUCCUCAGGGACCAAGAAAAUAGCCCAUGGAUGUAAGCACAGGAAGAAAAGUGGAGCUCUGUGUGGAGCACUCCUUAGGUUGGACGCCCUCGCCUCCGGCUUUUAGCAGAGAUAUCUAGAGCCCCCUCCGACAGCCUCUAUCCCCCGAGGCAGGAAGACAGUACAAGCUAGGAAGAACCUUGGAACCCUCCAGGACCCAGGAAGCAGAAGGGCAGCACACCAGCAAAGCUGCAUAACAGAACAUGGGAAGCGCAAAGUUGGCCAAGAAGAGAGCUGGUCAGGGAGAGGAAAAGUUUCUCCAACCCCGACCCGAAGGAACAUCAUGGGCUGUAGAAUUUCUCUCGGGCAGAAGGAGGGACAUGAGCCCAUCACACAGUGGAAAGGAACUGUGCUGGAUCAGGUGGCUGUAAAGACCUCUCUCCACCUGCUGAAAUGCGAUGGCAUUGACCGUGUCUGUGGACUAGAAUUUAACAAAGACAAGAGGGUACUGUGCCUUAAAAUUCCUUCUGACAGGGUAGCAUCAUCCCAAGUCACUGACACCAGCCUUCUUGAUGCCAUCAUUGGCAAAGCAGUGGAACAUGUAUUUGAGGGUGAGCAUGGCGAUGAGGGUGAUUGCAGGGGCAUGGUCCUGGGCCAAACUCCUAUCUUGGAUGCCAGCUUUUAUAUAACAUAUGAGAAAGAUCCUGUGCUGUACAUGUACCAGCUUCUAGAAGACUAUAUAGAGGGCGACCUCUGUAUUUUGGCAGGGUGCAGAAAGCUGCCUCUUUUAGACAUCAACCUUGAGCUUAUGGAUGCCCUGAUAGGCAAACAUGUGGGAUACACCAAAGACGAUGCCUCCAAGAGAAUUGGCGUGGUCAUAAACCAGGCUGAAGCCGAGCCCAGUGUGUACUUAGUUAAGUUUGAAGAUAUUGUUUGUGACUUGGCAAAACACUUCUAAGCAUUUCACAAAGCGUCAAACAGCCGUAUAAAUAAAGUUAAAGUUUUAAUUUUUUGGAAAUAAAGUUGAAAUUGUAUUUGCUAAGAAAUACAUUCAUUAAUUAUAGAAAUAAGUAGAGCAUUUCAUUAAAUGUGGGAAAUCGAACAGUAAUCAAACUAGGACCUGGGUCCUGUGGGUAUAAUUGGGUGUCUCAACUCUGCAGCCUGCUCCAUGGAUUGCAUCUGGACUGCUAAGCCCGGUGCGGGGAGUUCUGACUAGCAGGAGAGCUGCCAGUUCAUCUGUUUCCCUUCUCUGGCUUCCUGGAAUCCUACAAAGUCAAUGGCUUGCCCUUAAGAACACAGCAGCUUGGGCGGUGCGGCUGGUACAGGCCUUAGCUUAGGUCCAGCAGUCAGGAAGCAGAGGCAGGUGAAACUCAGAGUUUGAGGGCAGCCUGGUCUACAGAGGGAGUUCCAAGACAGCCAGGACUACACAGAGAAUCCCUGUCUCAAAACAAAACAACCAGUCAGCCCUCUGAGGGGUUAGGGAGAGGGUAUAGGUUCCUAAGGGUAUGUCCAUAGGGUCACCUGACUCAGGCUGCUCUCCUGAGCUGCUGAGGAAAUGAAGGAAAGUCACAUUGAAAGUGAAGCUGGGAACAGCUGGGAACUCUAAGUGUGCCUGUGGCUGCCAGGAAUCUCAGGCUGUUUAAUUGGUACAGCACGGGAGGAGGGGUUAGCUAGCCUGGGUGGGAGGUGUCUGUCCAUGAUCAGUGUCAGGCUGUAAACAUCAGGGGGAGAAACCACACUGGCUAGAACUUGCACGCACUGAUCAGUCAUUCAGCCACACUCAUGACUGGACUCCAGAGCAAAGCUGUGCUCUUCACCCGGCACGUAAGAGGAACGUCCUUCCCAAUUUAGGAUGAGACACCCGGUCUCUGAGUCCUAGUUAAGCCAAGUGCAUGUCAAAAUAGACUGCAACAGGACCUCACCCAUUCAACUUUCUCCUGGUCCCUGCAGGUUAGGGACCAUUUCACUGACAGGAGUGAGGAGCAGUCAGGGCCUCUCUCUGCCUAGGGCUCUCUGUAGCAGGCAGGUCAGAGUCAUAGCUUCUCUCAGGCUGUGCCACACACAUCCACUCCACCUAGUGAGCACUGAGUUCCAGUGCAAUCCACCAGGCCCUCACGUCUGCCUCAAAUAGGUCCUGAGAGCUACAAGGGACAGCCAGCUGCUUCUGAAACUUAAGACAUUCUACCUGAGUUCCCACCUCUGGUGACAUGUCACCUGGUCCUAGUCCUGCUCUUUCCAUUUGUAUGGUGACCAUUGACCCUGUGCUGGUCCAUUUGUCAACAACACAAGCAGGAGACAUCUGAAAGGAGGGAAGUGUGAUUGAGAGAAUGCCUGCAUCACAUAGCCUACAGGAAUGAUGUGGUGUCUUCCUCAGUGACAGGUAUGGGAGGAUCAUAGCCCUCUGGAGGAUCCGCCACUACUGGGCAGCAUGUCCUGAGAAGGACAGUCAGGUUAGCAAGACAGUCAGCAGCCCUCCUCUGAAGGCUCUCUUUCACUUCCUGCCUCCAGGUUCCUGCCCUGAUGGAGUUCCUGCCUUGACUUCUCAUCAAAGACGGCCAAGGAUCAGGACACAUGAGCCUCAUAAAGCUUGUGUGCCCUGUGUUGCUUUUGGUCAUAGUGUCUGCCACAUCGAUGCAAAGUAGCCUACGACACACUUGUAUUUUGUACACUGGUCCUCAUCAGGCAGUGGAUGUUCCAGGACAGAGAAUGAAGAAGGAAGGGAGGCUGAUAGGCCCGCCCCCUUGCAGAAAGGGGAUUGGUGGAUAGCACUCUGGGGGAUGGGCAAACCCUAACUGCCACAAACUGUUGUUUAACUUACAUUAACUAGCCCAGAGCCCGAGAUGAGGUAUUCAGAUACUCUGCCUUUAUCUCUACAUGACAUUUCUCACUUUGGGGCGGGGUGGACUCAAGACCUCUGUGUAACCCUGGUAUCCUCGAACUCCCUCAAUAAGACAAGGCUAGCAGUGAACUCAGAGAUCCACCUGCCUCUGCCUCCCGGGUGCUGGGAUUAAAUGUGUGCACUUCCCCCCACAAGGUUUCCUCAUGGCAUUUCUGACAGUUCAACCUCCAAAUGUGGCGAACACAGUGACCACCCCCAGGAGCCAGGCACAGGGAAGGCAGGAGAUGGGAAGCAGGCCUGAAGCCUAAGGGAACAAAGUUUCAGGUGGGCAGGAGGAAUUGUCUCAGACACUCUACACAGCAGGGUGAUGGUCGGCCUGAAGCGAUAUCCUAAGAUGUUCAGAGCAACUGCAGGCUUCCUUUGCCCCUGGGAUCUUAGGAGACGGCGUGGAGACCCCUAACCCCCGGGAUUUGAGGGAAGUGGGAGGGAAUGAGCCAAGUUUGGAUUCUUCCCAGAGUUAAGUCCUAAUGUCUCCAUAGUCUGUGCCCAGGCCCCAGCCUGUUGGCCUCCACAGUUGGGCAGUAUUAAGGGGCAGUAUUGAGGCUCCAGUUGACCUGGCCGGUGUUGCAGGUUCUGCACUGGAUAAAAGUCACCGAGAAUGCUGACUUGGGAAAGAAUAACAAGGUGACCUGAGGAAGCAGACAUAGCAGUUUUCUUUCCCUUUCCAACAGCUGGACUAGAAAUGAAUCCAAAGCAGGUACAUAGGAGUCCUUUGGUUGCCCCAAAAGAAACAAAAAACACAGCUCCCUUGAAUACAAAACUGCAAACCAGACACACACAUAUCGAUGCUCCAUGUGAACAUCAAGUGGAGGUCGCCCCCUCACCAUAUGGGCACAGUGGCUGUGGUGAUAUUAGACUUGAGGGCCUUUUUCUUCCUAGUGAUCAUGUUAUGGACCUAUGUAGGGGUUUGAAUGAAGUUGGUCUCCAUAGGCUCCUGGGAGUCAAUACAUGUUCCUAGCUGGUACAACUGUUUGGGAAGGGUUGGGCAGUGGGGCCUUGAGAAGAGCUGUGUUCCUGGUGCUGGGUUUGAAGGUUUCAAAAGCCCAGGCCAUUCCCAAUGACUCAUUCCCUCUCUGCCUCCCACAUGCAGACCAAGUGAGCUCUCAGCUGUUCCUCUCACAAUGGCGUUGUUGUACCACAGUAGACUCUCGGUCUAUGAGUCUGAAUUACAAUUCACUUUUCUAAGUCUGCUGUCUUGGUCAUGGUGUCUUACUACAGCAAAAGGAAGGAAGACGCAGACCUUAGUAGCUAUUGCUUUAGAGGAUCAAACGCGCUGACAUUUCCUCAUUGAGAAGUCAAAGCCAUUAGAUAUUUAAUGGUCUUUGCUGUUGAGUAGUAACAUUUGGGACUGCUAUAAAGGUUAUUUAAGGGAGAGCCAUUCCAUGGUCCUCCCCAUUUGGGGUACUUAGGACCCUCAACAAGGACAAGUAUGGCCUGAUGCCCAUUCAUACGCAGCUUCAGAAAUGCAGCUUUUCUAAGAUGAAGACCGCGCUGGGUCAGGCAUUUGGAGAUCAUUUGUCCAAGGGUGGCCCCUCCUUCUAACUGACUCCACAUGCAUACCUGACUAUAAAGCUCCCGUGAACCCACUGGUUGAGUAUGCUUGACUUGGGUAGAAUAAUUCUGCGGUCUGUUGCUUAAACCACAUCUGGAUGACACAGAUACUUGCUCGUGUCUUCAAAGGAAUGCGGCUUAGUGCACAGGUAACUCUUUUGUGUGGGAAGACACAGGUUUAUUGAUAAGAACUUUUGAUCCGCAACUUGGAAAUUGUCCUCUAGACCCGUCCUGCCCCAGAUCCUGAUUACACUGAGUGAGGCCUGGGAGGAUGAAGGUGGGGAGGACAAGGUGAGGAUGCUCAGUAAGGACAGCCCAAUAUUAACAGUGGGUCAGGCAAGCUUUCUCCAGAGUGCUGUUGGCCUCACGUGUGAAGCUGAGGCAGUUUAGUAGACAAAGGAACAGAUAAGCACAGUCUGAUUUGAAAAUCAUGGAGCGCUUCUGUCAGAGGGACCUUCUGAAGUGCACUAACAUGGAGGCUUUCUUCAUAGUGGGUGGGAGAGCCGUGAGCCUGACACAGGAAGCCCCAGAGCUAACGGUUUGGGAGGAGGGAGGAUGGGGAGGACAGGGAGGAUGAGAGAGAGAAUGUGGAGCCGGGGGGAGAGAGAUGGGGUGGUGUGUUAGGUUCAUUCCUUAGUUUCAACCCACUUUACUUGCUCCCAUCCCUGUUAAUGUAUAAAUUAUAGCUGAUUUGAGGUUUUUACUAAAACCGUGGUUGUAAUGUUGUGUGAAACUAGUAAUACAACGUUACAGACCUGCCCUGUGUCCCCAUUUCUGAGGAAAAGCAACCUCUCUGUCCAGCUCUCAUGCAGACUUUUCAAUUUCUCAGUGCACACAGCAUGGCUCCAAACCCUGUCUUCCUGGGAUUGAGGAGGUCUUUCUCUUUGACUGCACGUGUGUCAGUGUAGACAACUACAGGUUCAGGAAUGCUAAAACCAUGCUGACACUGAAGACAGGAGCAGCUUGGGCUCUCUCCACUCCCAAGGAGGGAAGAGCAGCUGCCAGGCCCAAGGUGCAGCCUGGUAUCUCACCAGGCCUUAGGUGACCAGAGAUCUUUUACAGGGAGAGGCGAUAUUAAUCAGGCUCUCACUUGGAUAAGGAAGUGUAAGAGGAAUUUUCCUUGGUAGUGGGAGCUGAAACUAAAAGGAUGUGGAUGCUGUUCAAAGUUUGGGUUAACAAAAUGUAACACACUGUCAAGACUGUGGCUCCAUGGUCAUUCCUGUAGGGUGAGAGCCCACGGUCUGUCCAUGGUGAGGUUCCUGUACUGCCCUGAAAUCCAGCCUAGCUUGCAGUGCUCAUGUACAGGGUUUCCCCGUGUGCCUGCAGCCUGGGUUCCUGGUUUUCCCAGACAGUGACAUCCUUCACCUCCAUGUGCAUAACUCCAGGAACUCUCCUCUUUAGUCCUGCUCAUUCUCUGUUGUACCCAGGUGAGCCUGACCAUAGCAGAGCUCUACACGCGUGUGUUAAAGCAUACUUUUCAUCUCUACCUAAUGCUACUCCUUAAGACCCAACACCUGUCUGUUGGAGAUUGAGCCCAUGGCUGCUGCUCUGAAAGGGCAGCAGCAGUGAGCUGUGUGCAUGGCCAGCGGUUAUUUAAUAUCUGCAGCGUCACCGUCCAAAAACUUCAUUCUGAGUUACUGUUGGUGACAGAUCAAAUCAAAGUUAAAACAACCCGCAUCCUAUUUGCGGUGUGGUCGUACUUUGCCAGAAGCUGACCAGAGAGCACUGGUUCGCUCCAGAAGUCAGCUGAGGUGACAGAACAUUGUUGGAGGCAAAACUUGGGUUUUGCAAAAGUAAAAGUUGCUUAGUAUUAAUAUUUACUCCCCUUGAUUCUUUGUUAUUCUGGGGCCAGAAACCUAUGGCUUCAGGCAAAGUAACACCUGUUUCUUAACAGUGGGCCCUGGGUCUGUGGGGUAGGAGUAAGGUAAAGGAUUUAUUGCUAGUGCUCCCUUCUCUGGCCAGUUAACCAGGAGCCCUUGUCUGCCUAGUUACCUCUUUGUGAACUAGAGAGGAAAGAAAGGAAAAUACUUAAAUUUUUGUACACAGGCAAAUUUGCACAUACACAUAUACAUUGAUACAAAUACAUUCUAGCCCAGCAAUCAGUCUCAAUGCCACAAGUGUUCAUGCAUGCUUGCAUGUAUACACAUAUACUUACAUAGGUACAUAUGAACAGACAGACAUAUACCUUUGGAUGUAGGGAGGGAUGGUGUGAUAGAAGGAUGGAGGGAUGGAUGGAGGGAGUGUUGGAAGGUUAGAGGGAUGGAGGGAUGGAUGGAUGGAUAGAGGGAUAGAGGGAUGGAGGGAUGGAAGGAUGGAGGGAUGGAUGGAGGGAGUGUUGGAAGGUUAGAGGGAUGGAGGGAUGGAAGGAUGGAUGGAUGGAUAGAGGGAUAGAGGGAUGGAGGGAUGGAUGGAUGGAGCAAAGCUUCCCAGUGCAACCCCACCAUCUUUAUUUCUGUUCUCUAGCAUUUUCAUAGAUAAAUGUUGCACAGAAUGGGAGUGACAGAAGGAUGUAGAUAAGGAGUUGCAAGCAGCUCUGUCCCGUAAGAGCUGUAUAAACCCAAAGCACCUCUUCCCCAGGGGCCUGCAUCGCCAUAUUGCACACCAGGGGCUUCACUGCCAACAUGAACUAGAAUGGUUUUCCUGGAUCACAGAUUUCUCCCAAGUCUAUUUGUCGUCUGUUUGGUUGGGGUAUGAAAGCUCACUGUAUUUCUUAUUAUACAGCCUUUACUAAAUAUUAUGAAUUAGGAAUUGGAACAUUUCUAUUCUUGAUUAUGUAUCCCCAGGAAACCAACUAAAACCACCUCUUAAAACUUUCUUCCUAAGAUCAAAUCAGGAAUUCAAUAAAAUCAUUAUUCAUCUGAACAGUAUUGAUUCAUGAAGUCAUCUUUAGGUUGAUCUGCAGGAAAUCUGCUCAAUGGGGUGGGUUAAAGCCCAAGGAUUAUUACACUAAUUCCAUAAUGAGAGGAAAGGCACAGCACUUGCCAAAAGCAAUCCCGAGAUGAAGUCUCUUUGAGGCCUUGCAUCUCACAGCUCAGCCAUCUUAGUUCAAGCAGAGAGUGAGGCCUCCUCCAGGAAGGCCACCUGCUAGCCUUAGUGUUUCCUAAAUGGCUCCUGACAGGACUUUACAGUUUAUUCCUUGCUUCCCAUCCAUUCCUCUUGCUUUCUUACAUGAACUUUCCUCAUUUUCAGGUAGGAUACCUAGGAAUUGGACAGAUUGCUUGGGAUACGUCUAUCUCUGAACAAAUACCUCCAAGAUCCAACUUGAUAACCCUUAUCUGGCAUUCUAAGUAACUGAAAGUUUCUACCCUGAAGUAGAAGUUUCCUGUCUCCUCCUGCUCGGACUCUUAGUAUGGUCUUUGAGAGAGGUCAAUUCUGAGAGGUUGUUUCAUGACCCCUCACAGAGAAUUUGUUUCCAGUUAAGGUUUUUACAGGCAGGCAGGCAGGAUGGGAUGUUGUGAUGAGAGAUGCCCAACGUACAGGGAGGAAGGUGGCUGGAGAGAGAGGCCCAACGUACAGGGAGGAAGGCAGUUGGUGACAAUGUUCUAUGUCAACUACUCUUCUCACAAUCAUGUGGGGUCUUCCACAGGUAGAGAUUAGACACUUGGAGUCUAACUAUGCUUGGCUUACCAUGGAGGCAUCUACUAAGGAGAGGUGAAAAUCCCUAUGGGAAGAACUGCCCCAUAUUAAAAGAGUGCUUCCCAAUUUUGAUAGGUAAAUGCCCUCUUUAUUCUGACAUUCCUAAAUGAUCCCCCCAAAAGACACAUAUCCUUCUAUAUAAAUCCUGGCAUCUCGUGGUAGAAUGUUUUCCCUUAGAUUGACAUUGGGACCCUCCCAAUGGGGACCUCAGUGCAGAUACAGAUCUCAUUUUCCUUGUCUGAAUUCAAAGGAAUCAAAAUGGAUUAAGUAUCUUUCACUGAAAAUUCUGACCAAUCAUGUCUCGAAAAUUGAAUAGAAGAACCAACUGUCUAUCCAGCAACAAAAUAUAUAAUGUUAAUUUUGGACCAUGACCCCCUAAGCAGGCUGCAGCCUUCCUUACUUCAGCAGGAACAGGCCAGAGAGGCUGCUGGGCAAGAAAAGGUCUAACACUCUUGUGUCCAUGGGGCAGAGUGGCUGGACAACUGUCCUCAGUGGACCAUCACCUGUGUCCACCAUGUGUCAGAACUAAUGGCGCAAGUGACUUCCUUACGUGCUCCAGCCCAGUGCACUUUAUUUAGCUUUAGUAGGACUGAGAAAGGAGAGACAUACAAUGGUAAUGGCAACUGCAGGCCUCAGCCCCUGUGAACAGUGCCCAUUAGGGUAAGAAGGGUAACCUUUUUGGAAAGAUACAGAAGGCUCAGCAGAGCGUAUGCUUUCCUCCUGCCCUGGUGGUCAGAGCUGGUUCAAACAAGAGUUGAGGGAUGAGGUGGGGUAACUACUGCGAAGCAAGGGAUACUUCACCACAAACACAGCGGACUUGGUGACAGAGGACUUGAAAGUGUGACGUCAUGCUGAGAGCCUAUGACCAGGCAGGCUUGCAGUGUACGGGUCAGGCCAGUAGGAAGUGGAGUAGUCUUCAGAUGGGGGGUGAGGAUUAUAGGAAAGACGGAUGAGAAGACAGAGAGACAGAGGUCGAGGUGGAGAGGGCUGUCCAGUCAGUGCUGCUGCAGCCUUGAGCUUCUCAGAGGCUUUAGAGUAUGGUGGGAAGGAAACUCCCAAGCCAGCAGAGACAGUGGCUGACGUACAUUCAAUACCUGUACCCAUCUGGAGGCCUCCCUCCCCCUCACUCCUCCUUCCUCCAAGGCUAAUAGAACAUUGAGCUCCUCGACGUGAACUUCAAGUGGAAACCCUGUCCUCCUGUGGUCAGUAGAGCAGGCAAUCUGCCAGUAGACCCUGACCCGACUGGACUACGCCUGACAGGCAGGCUUUCACAGAAGCAGGCAGAAUGGCUCCCCACAAGGCAGAAAAGGCACAAAGCUGCUGCUGGUACAGCCUCCUGAAGCCAGAAAAAGCUCGACCCGCACCAGGCAUGAUGGUGAGAAUGAGUUGUCCUCUUCGUUUCUGACAAUAUAUUCUCAACCACUAAUCCCUGUCCCAUCCCUUUACAACUCUAUGGCCUUCUGGAUCUCACAACGGAGGAGGUACCACUUGGAAAAAUUGUUUUAGCUCCGAGAUCCAACCCAGGCUGAUACCAGGACACUAAGCAAAUCAUGGCUUCCUACUUCUCUGUCUACACAGCCAGGUGGAGAGGGAUUUCAACUAAUCCACCCACAACCUAUAGACCCCCAGCAGGCCAUGUGGUUUCCUAUCCUGUGGCAUGCUUUAGAGGUAUAGCCCAGUGGCCCCAGCCCCACCAGAGAAGAGAAGACUUACAGGUCUAGGUACUCAGAGAAGUUGAACCCUUCACUCACAUUCCGUCCAGAGUAGAGCAAAGUCCCCAUCAAAUGGUGUCUUACCAGUGUUUCUAUUACCGCACAAAACAUCACGACCAAGAAGCAAGUUGGGGAGGAAAGGGUUUAUUCAGCUUACACUUCCACAUGGCUGUUCAUCACUAAAGGAAGUCAAGACAGGAAUUGACACAGGGCAGGAACCUGGAGGCAGAAGCUGAUGCAGAGGCCAUGGAGGAGUGGUGCAUGGCUGACUUCCUUCCCCUUACUGGCUCAGCUUGCUUUCUUAUAGAACCUUACAAUACCAGCCCAGGGAUGGCACCAGCUGCGAUGUGCCCUUCAACAUUUUUAUUACUAACUGAGAAAACACCUUGCAGCUGGAUCUCAUGCAGGCAUUUCCUCAAGGGAGGCUCCUUUCUCUGUGAUAACUCCAGACAGUAGAGAUGGUCUUAUGAGUGACUGCAGCACUCUCACCAAAGAACCACCCGGGGAUUCCUGAACCAAAUCUGUGCGCCACAGAGCUGUUCCCAGCCGACAGGCACAGGGGAUCUGUGGACCCAGCCUCACUCUUCCCUUGAACUUGGAAUGUGCCGUCAACACCUGCUCUCCGUGCCUUGCUGUCUUGGGAUUUAGAACAUGUGGGGAGACAAAUCUAGUUCUCCCAGCAAAAGGCUUCAAAAGACUAGGUCUUGAGCCUCAGACUUUUUUGCAAAGCCUUGGGAUUAAACAUCAUUUAGGAAGCUAUAGGGAAUCUCUGGAUCCAUGGCUUACACCGAGACUUGGUAGAUUGAGGAGCUGGGAGAAUUCAAAGAAUGCCAAGUUGACAAAGAAGGGGGAUCCUGGGAAAAGCGACACGUAGCAUUGUUCUUAUGAACACACACCUUCCCUUGACAAACAUAACAGGAGGUCAGUCUUGUACGAGUGAGCAUAUAGCUAGGGGUGGAAGCAUACGACCCCUCCAGGUCCCAUGUUAUAUCAGGUACACAGUAUGGGGUCUCCGUCUUCCACCUGCAGCAGUCAACAAUCCACUCAGAGGUCCCAUGGUUACCUAAAAGCUGAAGCCAAACGUCAGUGCCCAUCUGGAUGAGCUGAGCUACACGUGACAUGCCUGGGGAAGAACCUAGAACGUACCUUCCCCUCAUGGUGGUUCAUGGCUAGGCAUCCCGUCUGCAUCCACUGCAGCAUCACCCAGUCACCUCCUCUUGUUCCCCCAUCAAGGCUGAGGGACUGUGAUGACCACAACUGCUCUGCUCUCUGGAAGAGGCUCCCCUGGGUUAGUGUCUGGCAGCACGUUAGCUGGGCUGCGGUUAAAAGAAUAGGACAUGGUGCCAGUCUACGAGAAGUGCUGGGGUAUUUGAGUUUUGUACAUCCACUUCUGUUGCCCCAGAGGAAGGCCAAUACAGCACGGGACAUGGACCCCUCUGUAAUCUCACGACAUAGGACCAGAUGUCCUCCUUCCCCUUCCUCUCCUGGUGUCUCUUGCUUCCCCUCUAGGAUCUCUCUUAUCUAUUGCUUCUUUUUCUGUCCCACAGUCAUGGUGAUUUUAAACUAUUUGAGAAAUCUCUAGUAAUAAGGACCUAUUCAUAUAAUCAAAGCUUUAAAUCUUUGAAGUUUCUUUUCCAAGAUCCGAGGUUUGACCACACAACAAAAGCAAAAUUCCCUAGCAACUCUCAUCAAUUAAAAAAAUAGGCUUGGGAAACAGCCCAGGGCCUCAUGAUCCUGGUAAGUGUUAGAUGUCCAGUCAGGCUAAAUACAGGUCAGGAGAAAGGUGGAGAUAUUUUUUUGGACUGCACUGUUUGGUUUAAAAGAAGACACCAACCAAGCAGUCAUAACUGGGAACAAAAAGAUCAGUUUUAUUCAGUGGGCCGAAAAGACAGGUACAGGUUUUGUUUUCCCUGAGGGAGAAGACCAAAACAAGAUUACUGAGGUCCCUGACGAGAGUAGCAAGUCUUUAGUCAGUGUGUGUCUGGGCAGUUAAGGGUUUUCUUACAAAAGAAAGCCACACUUCAAUGCAGAAAGCUUGUCAGUAUAGCUGGCUUAUCCUAGUUACCAGGUCUCAAACUGCUGGAAACAUCAAUGGGCCACCUGACUCCAAACCAAGGACAAUCUUUCAUACAAGGUCUGGAGUUUUGCAUGCUCUCCAGGAAAACACCUUAGGGGGCAUGUGAGGCACUGCACAACAUUGCCACUGGCUUUCCCCAUCAUGACAUAGCAGGGACUACACUGACCUAAAUCACAGUCACCGCCUGAGGAGGGUGUGUGUUGCUCUCCGGAAGAGCAAGUUUGGGGGAGCUGGCACUGCUACUUGGUGCCAAUUCAGUAGUGUGGACAAAGAAAGGGACACCCUUCUCUGUCCUUGUGCCUUACCACCUACAGCAAGCUUGAGACUUGACUCUGGUGUGACCAGAGCAGGAGCGCUGCCCCUGACACUCACUUGCUACAGCACUCUGGAGUUCAGGCCCCAGACCUUGCCUGGGAGCACAGUAGAGCUGGGCCUGGAUGUAUGGGUUGUGUACAAGCCCCAAGGGUCCUCUUGUCUGCUAGGUGAGGGUGAGAUUCCCUCUUCAUUCAUUCAUCACGUGAUACCAGUGGCAGGCAGGAGAGCUGGCCCUGUGGUCAUCUGUAACAGAACUGGCCAUGUCCCUCACUAGCUGCAAAACUCCAAAGAUUGUGACCGGCACCCUACCUGAACAGCAGGUUAGAGCUGGCCCUGCUUGCAUGGAGUACUGGUCAACAUCUAUCUACAAAGGCCACUGAAGCACUCUGCUGCCUCUUAAACAAGUAAAUAUCCAUCUCUGAACCGCUGAACUGGGAGAGGCUGAUCUCAUUUUCAAGAGAAUGCAAAGGUCCCAGUGGCCCAAAGUAGAGACAGCCACUGUGGCUUAUGCCGUGUUGUACUUGCUCCAUUUCUUGCUCUGACAUUACUGUGAUGGAAGAUUGAGGGUCCCCCAUAGGAGGCUGUGGGCUGUCUGUAGUUCUGUCCCUACAGAAGAGAGAGCUGUGGUUGGCGACCUGUGGGAUUCCCUCACAGCUGUCUGUUUAGUUGUUGGGUGAGAUCAGCUGCACCUAGUGUGGGAGCUUUCAGUCGUCCCUCAGCAGCGGUAUGCACCAGAGCAAAGCAACCCUAGCCUUGUGGCCAGCAAUUCUGCACAGAACCAACUCGGGAGUCCAUGUGCUCUUCCCAUCGGCAAGGGUACAUUUGGCACUGUCAAUCUUGCCUGCCAAAGACAAACACAAGCUGUGCUGGCCAUAAAAACUGUAGAGAUAACCAAGAAGCACAUCAGGAGAACACUGUCAGAAAUGACACCUCAGACACUUCACCAUGCUGACUCCAUCAGGCUCUUGAAGGUUCUAGUAACAACAUCAAAACAAGUCUAUCUAGCUACAGAGUGAGCUCCAGGAGGAAACCUGUUUGACCUGAUAAUUGGAGGAUGGCCUGCUGCAGGAGGGCGAGGCAAAGGUAAUUUUGGGCAGAUAGCCACAAAGUACUGCCCCAAACUUGACAUUGUUUGAGACGCUAAACUUCAAAACAUUAUACAAGAUGCAGACAGAAAAACCAAGCUGAUGCUUUGGCUGCUUCACCAAGCUCAGACCUAGCAUCGCCCCUAAAUGGCAGUGAGGAACCAAGGGCUUUGGUACCCCAGAGAUUGUACUAGAGGGGCCACAUGGUGGGAUAAAGGCAGAUGUGUGGGGUCUGUGCUUGCUUUUCUAUUUUAUCUCACUGGGUGCCACCAGUUCAGAGGAAGCCACAUGAACGGUAUCAGGAAAAAGAUUGCCAGGGGACCUGUCAUAUUCUAAGUUGUAUCUCUGAGCACAUUGAAACCUAAUUAUCCAGGUCCUCACAGUGUCUUGAGAGAUGAGGCCCUGCACUCACGACACUGAGGGACACCCAUGGGUCAGGAAAGGUGAAGUAAAUAUCCCAACUGUGGUCUCUCUAUAUUACAACAGUGUAGACAUGCUCUGAGGAAAGCUGUCUAAUGCCAAUGAGAUGGUUGAACCCCUCCAAAAAAAAAAAGACAUUGGCGGAAUGAUGGGUGCAUAUUUGAUUUUAAAAGAACAGGUAUGCAAGGAGGUUGAGCAUGGAUCUACCACUUCAGCCAAGCCUGGAUUCCAUGCACUAUGCCCCUCCUUUCACCAGCACAUGCCUGUAUCUCUGGAUAUUAGCCCAAAAGCUCGAAUUACCCAGGAUAUAAUCCACAGACCACAUGAAGCUCAAGAAGGAGGACGACCAAAGUGCAGAUGCUUCAGUCCUUCUUAAGGAAACAAAGGAGAUACGGAAACAAAGUUUGGAGCAGAGACUAGAGGAAUGGAUACUCAGAGCCUACCCACCCUGGGAUCCAGCUCAUAUACAUACAGCCACCAAACCCACACAGCAUUGCUGAUACCAAGAAGUGCAUGCUGAAAGGAGCCUGAUAAAAGCUGUCACCUGAGAGGCUUUGCCAGAGCCUGACAAAAAGAUGCGGAUGCUCAAAGCCAACCACUGAACAGAGAACAGGGUUCCCAUUGGAGGAGUUACAAAAAGGUUUGAAGGAGCUGAAGGGGUUUGCAACCCCAUAAGAACGACAAUACCAACCAAACAGACCUCCCAGGGACUAAACCACUACCCAAAUGGACAGAGCCAUGGCUCCAGUUGCAUAUGUAGCCAAGCAGGGCCUUGUUAGGCACCACAGGGCAGCCCUGCCAAGGUUGGACCCCGCCCCCAGUGUAGGGGAAUGUCAGGGCAGGGAGGCAUGAAGGGGUGGGUGGUUGGGGAGGAGGAACACCCUCAUAGAAGCAAGGAGAGGGGGGAUGUGAUAGGGGAAUUAUGGAUGGGAAACUGGGAAAGGGGAUAACAUUUGAAAUGAAAAUAAAAAAGUUAAUGUGUUCAUUCAUGUUGAAAUGUUUAAAUAAAAAAAAAGCAUAAAGAGGCAGGAAGCAGACCCAACAAAAGUGUCAACAAGUAUGGGGUGGUGCAUCACAACCUUGACAGUGGUCACUACCCCAUGCUACACCAUCAGCCUCUCCCAGGUUCUAGUAACAGCAAGUCGGGUCCAUCUUGUUGCUCAGUGUGCCCCAGGAGGACACUUCUUUAACAUGAUAAUGGAGGGUGUCCACUGUAGGAGGAAGAGGCAAAGAAAACAUUCAGGCAGACAGUGUCAGCCAUGAAGUACUGCCACAGCCUUGACAUUGUCCAUGGAGACAGGAAACCCCAGUUUCCUCAGAGAGGCGGAGGGUAAUGUGAAGGAUGUUAUAGAUUUGCCCCGGGCCAUGGAGUGCAGACCGAGCAGCUUCCUGCAAGAGCAGUGUGAGACCAAGGGCUUUUCUGCCCCAGAAGUUGCCUUAUUGGACCAUGUGAUGGCAAGGAGGCAGACAUGUACAGUCUGGACAACAGUCUGGACAGCUACUCCAUUCCGACAUCAGUGGGUCCUACUCAUCAGGAAGCACCAGGAAAGAGAUCAUGGAAAUAGAUUGCGGGACCUAUGACAUUCCAACUCAUGUCUCUGAGCAACUUGAAAAACAUGAGAUCAUCCCAGUUCCCCCAGAGACGUGAAGUUCUCCAUUGAAGACAUUAAGAGACAUCCAUGAGACAUUAAAUGUGGAGGAAGUAUUUCAACUCUGACCUAUCUGGAUUGAGACUAUAGACAUGCUCUGAUGCAUGGCUUUAAAUUUCAACGAGAUCUUGGAAUCCCUGCAAAAUAUUGUGGCAAAAUGAAGGGUACAUAUUUGACUUUAAAAGAAUGGGUACAAGAGGGGCAUGAACACACACCUAACACUUGAGCCGAGCCUGUGAUUCCAUAUCCUACACCUCACACAACACCAGCACAUUUCUGGUCUUUCACUAAAGAGAAGGGCAGUGAGCCCAAAUCUGGCCUUCUGCACAUCUGGCCCUCAGGUGUGCACAGACCUUUGCCCGGACACUGUCAGGGCACGAGAUGCCAAGAAGUGCCUCCCCGCCUGCCAUUGCUUCACAGUAUGCCAAAAAAGAGCUGAUUCACUGCCUGCCUGUGCCCUCCAUUCAGAAGCUGUGGCUGCCUCAUGUGUCUGCAGCAGCACAUUGGAAGAGGAAAUGUCCAUGACUCCUCAGGAAGACUCUGACAAAAAAAAAAAAUCUCAUCACCCAUUCUGAAUGUUAGGUGCUUCAAGAGACUGCGCAAGAGAAGCAGGUCUGGCCUCUCCAGACUCUGUUGCUUCCCAGGACUGCAUAGACAAAAACCCACCAUAUCAUGUUUUGAGAAUGUGACUUCUCUGCAAGAGGCAGGAUGCAGAAUGUAAUGAAAGGGUAAACAGGAAUGGGACGGUACAUCACAACCUCAAUAUUGUUCACUCCACCAUCCUACACCAUCAGCCGCUUCCGGGUUCUAGUAAUAUCAGAGCAGGUCCAUCCAGUUACUGAGUGUGCUCCAGGAGGACACUGCUUUGACCUUGGAAUGGAGGAUGAUCCACAGCAGGAAGAAGAGGCAAAGAAAACACUCAGGGAGACGGUGUCAGCUAUAAAGUACUGCCACACCUUGGCAUUCUCCAUGGAGACUCAAAACCCUAGCUUUUCCUCAGAGACGCAGAGGGUAACGUGAAGGUAAUAGACAUUGGCCUUGCCAUCAAGAACAGACAAAGCACCUUACUGAAAUUGAGAUGUGGGACCAAGAGCUUUAAUGCCCAAUAGGGAGUAUUACAGCAGCCAUGUGAUGGAUGGCAAGAAAGCAGAUGUGUGCGCUCCGAGUGUGGUACUCUAUACCAUCACCACUGGUUAUCAUCCUUCAGAGAAGGACCAUGAAACAGAUAAAGAUCGCCACGGGAAACUGACAUUCCAUCUCAGUUCUGUUGGCAACUUGAAAACCUAAUUCACCAUAUCCUCAUAGUUCCCACAGACAUGAGGCCUUCCAUUGAAGACGCUAAGAGGCACCCAUGGGUAAAGGAAGGUGAAUUGAAUACUGGAAAUCAACGUAUCCAGAUUGAAACAAUAUAACAUGCUCUGAAACAUGGGAUUUUAAGCCAAUGAGGUCCUGGAAUCCCAGCCAGAAAAAUAAAAUGAACGGACGGGUACAUUUUUUACUUUAACAAAAAGUUAUGUAAGAGGUUUGAGCCCAGAUCUUCCUCUUCAUCUGGCUGUGACUUUCUGUCCUAUGCCACCCCAUCCAUACCAAACCAUCCACUAGCACAUCCCUCUACCUCUGAUCUUCCCAUAAAGAGAAGGGGCAGUGAGCCCAACUUUGGCUUCCUGCACAUCUGGCCCUCAGGAGAGCAUGGGCCUGUUUCCCUGACACUAACCCACACAGGGUGGCAAGAAGGGCUUCCAUGCCUGCUACUGCUUUGCAUUUUCCCUUGUGUCUACACCAGUGUAUUGGACGAGGAGAUCCCCUACCACCUGAGGAAACCUCGAACAAGGACAUCUCAUCACCCACUGAGAAUUUGGGUGCUUCAAGAGACUGAAAGAGAAUCCGCGCAUGCCUGUCAUGACUGUUGCUUCCCGGGCACUCCAGAAACAGACCCACCAUAUUUCUCAACUUAGAAAGAGCCUCCACUGAAAGAGGCAGGAACCAGACCCAAUAAAAGUGUAAACAAGCAUGGGAUAUCACAUCACAUUCUCGACAUUGGUCACGACAGCAUCAGCCUCUUUGAGUCAAAGGGAGUGGAGCCUAUCUAGUUACUGAGUGUGCCAAAGAAGUUGACCUGAAAAUGGGGGAUGACCUGCUACAGGUAGAGGUAGAGAAAAUAUUCAGGCAGGCAGUGUCAGCCAUAAAGCACUGCCACAACCUUGACAUUGUCCAUCAAGACAGGAAACCCCAGUUUUUCCUUAGAGACGCAGAGGGUCAUGUGAAGGUAAUAGACUUUGCCAUGGCCAUCAAGUGUACAACCAACACCUUACUGAAACGAGAGUGUGUGAAAAGGGGGGUUGUUUUGUGGCCAUAUGAUGGCCGAGAGGCAGAUGUGUGAGUUGGGGUGUGCUACUCUAUCACCACUGGGUAGUACCCUUUCAGAAGAAGCACCAAGAAAGACAUUGAGGAAAAAAUUGCCAUGGGGACCUGUGACAUCCAAGCUCAUGUCUCUCCACAACCUGAAAACCUAAUUCACCAUAUUCUCCCAGUUCCUCCAGAGAUGAGGGCCCUCCACUGAAGACAUUAAGUGACAUCCAAGGGUUGUUAACUGUAAAGGAAAUAUCCCAAGUGUGCCUUAUUCUGAAUCAAACAAUAUAGACAUGCUCAGAGACAAGGCAUUCAAUGUCAACAAUUUCUUGGAAUCCCUGCAAAAAGGUAUAAUGAACCAAUGGGUACACAUUUGAUUGUGAAAGGAAGCAUACACACGAGAUUAAGCGCAGAUCUUUUACUUCAUCCAAGCCUGUGCUUGUGUGCCCUAUGCCACCCCAUCACCAGCUCAUCCAUCUAUCUCUGUUCUUCCAAUAAGAGGAGGGACAGUGAGCCCAACUUUGGCCAUCUCCACAUCUGGCCCUCAGGAGAGCCUGGGCCUGUUCCCCUGGCACUAUCAGGACACAAGAUGGCAAGAAGGGCUUCCAUGCCUGCCAUUGCUUUACAUUCUCCCAAGAAGAAGAGCCAAUUUCCUGCCUGUGCCCUCCAUUCAGGAGCUGUGGCUGCCCCAUGUGUCAGCAGCAGCACAUCGAAGAGGAAAUGCCUGUGCUACCUGAAGAAUUCUCUGACAAGGCAAUCUCAUCAUGUCCUCUAAGGAUUAGGUGCUUCAAGUCACUGUGUUAGAGAAUCACAGCUUCCCUAUUAAAGCUGUGUUGCUUCCGGAGGGAGGGCACCAAAGACAAAGCCCCCAUCUAUCUUACAAGAAAGUAGAUCCUCUGAAAGAGGAAGGACCCAGAACCCAUUAAAAGGUAAACAAUAUGGCAUGGAGCAUCACAACACUGAUGUCGUGCACUACACCAUUUUAACUUCAUUACCUCAUCCAGGUUGUAGUAACAUCAAAGCAGGUCCAUCUACUCACUAAGUGUGCUCCAGGGGGAAACUUCUCUGACCUGACAAUGGAGGACGGCCCACCCCAAGAUGAAGAGGCAAAGAGAAUAGUCAGGCGGAUAGAAUCGGCAAUAACGUAAUGCCACAGCCUUGACCUUGUCCAUCGAGACAGGAAACCCCAGCUUUUCCUCAGAGUGGCAGAGGGUCAUGUGAAGGUGAUAGACUUUGGCAUGGCCAUCAAGUACAAUCCUGGGCCUUACUGAAAUGGCAGUGUGGGACCCAGAGCUGGCAUUAGUAGGCCUUAGGAUGGCACGGAGACACGUGGGUGCAGUCCUCACACGGGGUACUGUCCCUUCAGAAGAACAACCAGGGAAGAGAUCAAGGACUUAGAUUGCCACUAGGACCUGUGACAGUCCAGCUCAUGCCUCUGAGCAACCUGAAAACCCACAUCACAACAUCUCAUUUCCUCCAGAAAUGAGGCCUCCAUGAAAGUCAUUGAGAGACAGCCAUAGGACAGUAAACGUGGUAGACAUAUUCCAAAUGUGACUUAUUCAGAUUGCAACAUUAUACACAUGCUGCCACGCAUGGCUUUAAAUUUCAAAGAGAUCUUCUAAUUCCUGUCAAUAAUGUGGCAGAAUGAUGGGUACUUAUUUGCUUUCAAAGAAUGGGUACAAGAGGGGCAUAAACACACACCUAACACUUGAGCCACGCCUGUGAUGCCAUGUCCUAUGCCACCCAUAUCACCAGCACAUCCCUCUGUCUCUGGUCUUCCAAGCAGAGAAGGGCCAGUGAGCUCAAACUUGGCUUCCUCCUUAUCUGGCCCUCAGGAGUAAAUGGGCCAUUUCCCUAGCACUGUCAGGACACAAGAUGGCAAGAAGUGCCUCCCCGCCUGCCAUUGUUUUACAUUUUCCCCAAAGGAAGAGCUGAUUUACUGCCUAUGCCCUCCAGUCAGGAGCUGUGGCUGCCCCAUGUGUCUGGCACAGCAUAGCAGAAGAGGAAAUGCCCACGCCACCUGAGGAAGUAGCUAACAAGGAAGUCUCACCACCCCUCAGAAUAUUGGGUGCCUCAAGAGACUGCAUAAGAGAAUCAGGGCUUGCCUGUGAAGAUUCUGUUGCAUCCUGAGGACACCAAAGACAAAAACCCACCAUAUAUCUUCCAAAUGUGGCUCCUGUGAAAGAGACAGGAAGCAGAACCAAGGAAAAUGUAGACAAGUAUGGGAGGGCGCAUCACAACCUUGACCUUGGUCACUACACUAUCCUACAUCAUCAGCCUCUUGCAGAUUCUAGAAACAUAAAAGUGGGUGCAUCUAGUUACUGAGUGUGCCCCAGUAGGCAAGUUCUUUGACCAUGAAUGACGGUCCCUUCAGGAGGGAGAUGCAAAGAAAACAUUCAGGCAGAAUCGCUUCCAUGCCUGCCAUUGCUUCACGUUGUCCCAAGAACAGAGGCAUUUACUGCCUGUGCCCUCCAUUUAGGAGCUGUGGCUGCCCCGUGCGUCUGCAGUUGGAUAUCAGAAGAGGAAAUGCUCAUGGCCACCUGAGACUCUUUAUAAGGAAAUCUCACCACCCCUGGAGAAUAUUGGGUGCUUCAAGAGACUGUGUAAGAGAAUCAGGACUUGCCUGUCAAGACUCUGUGGCUACACAAGGGCUCUAAAGACAAACACCCACCAUUUACCUUCAAAAUGUGGCGCCUCUCAAAGAGACAGGAAGCAGACCCAAAGAAAGUGUCAACAAGUAUGGGCUGGUCACUACCCCAUGCUACACCAUCAGCCUCUCCCAGGCUCUAGUAACAGCAAGUCGGGUCCAUCUUGUUGCUGAGUGUGCCCCAGGAGGACACUUCUCUGACCUGACAGUGGAGGAUGGCCUGCAGGAGGAGGGAGAGGCAAUGAAAACAAUCAGGCAGACAGUGUCAGCCUUGACAUUGUCCGUCGAGGCAGGAGACCCAGCUUUCCCUCGGACAUGCAGAAGGUAAUGUGGAUUAUGUAACAAACUUUGUCCUGGACAUCGAGUGCAAACCCAGCACCUUACUGCAAUGCAGAGUGGGAACAGAGCUUGAAUGGCCCAGAGGGCAUAAUGGGGCAGCCAUAUGCUGGCGAGGAGGCAGAGGAGUGCAUCUGGACUUCCUUGUCCAUUUCCUCACCACUAGGUAUGGCUCCUUUGGAGGAAGCAGCAGACAGACCUAGAUAAAGGGUUGCCAAGGGAACCUGGGACAGUCCAGCUCACUUUCCUGGGCAGCUUGAAGACAUAAUUCACCAUGUCCUCAUAGUCCCCCAGGGAUGAGGCCCUCCAGUGAGGACACUAAGAGAUAUCCACGGGGCAUGGAAGUGAAGCUAAUACCACACAGCGGCCUAUCCAGAUUAAAGCAAUAGAACAUGCUCUGAAGCAUGGGGCUUUAGGCCAACGAGAUCUUGGAAUCACAGCUAAAAUUUUUAAUGGGGUUGGGGAUUUAGCUCAGUGGUAGAGCACUUGCCUAGCAAGCGCAAGGCCCUGGGUUAUGUAACCAACUCCGGGGGGGGGGGGAUUUUAAUGAACAGACAGAUACCUAUUUUAGUUUUAAAAAAAAGGUCACAAGGGGCCCGAGCAUAGAUUUACCACUUCAGCCGAGCCUGAGAUUCCAUGCCCUAUGCAACCCGGAAGGGCACAUCACUCUAUGACUGGCCUUUCCCUAAAAAGAAGGGCCAGUGAGCCCAACUUUGGCAUCCUCCACAUCUGGCCUUCAGGAGAGCAUGGGCCUCUUGCCCUGACACUAUCAGCACACAAGAUGGCAAGAAGGGCUUCCAUGCCUGCCAUUGCUUCACAUUGUCCCAAGAAGAAGAGCCAAUUUAGUGCCUGUGCCCUCCAUUCAGGAGCUGUAGCUACCCCAUGUGUCUGCAGCAGCAUAUCAGAAGAGAAACGGCCCUUCCCACCUGAGGAAGACCAAAAAGGAAAUCUCAUCUCCCCCUCAGAACAUUGGGUGCUUCAAGUGAUUGCACAAGAGCAUCAGGGCUUGCCUGUCAAGACUCUAUUGCUUCCCCAUGGCUCUGAAGACAAAAACCCACCAUUUAUCUUCCAAAAGUGGCUAGCUACUCCCAUGUCUGCUAUCACCCAAACUGGACUAAACACAGUCAAUCACUAAUAAUGAAAUGUAGGACAGACACACUCACAAUCUGAUAAGGGCAUAUUCUCAACAAGACAUUUUCAUCCCCAAUGACUUUAAGUUUACCAAAUUGACAGAAAAUUAUCCAAUCCAGAUGGGGAGACGAAAACACUUUCCAGCCUGUCAGACACUUCAGAGUGUGAGCUCUCCUCACUGUAGGAACAGGACAUGGCUGGCCUGACCUCGUGCCCUGUCACAUUUUCACUCAGUCCUCUAUCAGGUGUCUCAGCCACUUACCGCCCCAUCGAUUCUGUUCUCCAUUGGUUUCAUUUCUGGGACUCAUGACUGCUGUCCUCAUCUGCAGAGGAUGGUCAUGGAUUCCCUAUGGAACCUGAGUUUGCACAGGACAUAGAGGGUCCGGACUCUCCCUAUCCCAGAGUCAGCAUGAGACGAAGCCCAAUGGCACAUGUGACCCCUUUCCCUCCCCGCCCUAAAGGACGUGCUGUUCCAUUAGCUUCCUGACACACAACUUGCUGACCUCCAGUAGUCGAUGGCCUUGGCUAUUCUUGAUGGCCACUGCAUGUCUCAAGGGCAGGCUUUAGUCAUUCAGGACAAGGCAAUGGCCCAUCAGUUCUCCCGUCUCUGCACUUGCUCCAGUGUCCUUCCCUCCUGAGCGCUUUGGCUCUUACCAGAGUUGUAAUCUACACGGGGGUAUCUCAUGCAGUAGGAAGUUCUCAGCAAAGGUGGGCUUGCCCUUGUCCAUGGUACCUGGGGUUCCCUCACCUUGCAUCUAAGGCCUUCCCUCCUCUGCUUCUCCUCUGCAGAUGACGCCUCCGUCCUACAGGAGCUGGUGCAUGUGGGGUCAGGAAGGACAUAGCUCUCUGACGAUGAGGGCAGGUGGUCAUUACUGCAGAGGAUCACAUCUCAAUACCAAUGCUGAUCUGGAAACAGAGUAAAACCCUCCUCCCUGAGCAAGGUAUGCAGGAAUAUGUGAGGCUGUUGUUCACAGGAACAAAUGUCCAGGUGGAAUAUAAUGUGAUGGUGUGGUGCCCGGCAGAGGGACAAAGAUCAAGGCUCUAAUGGGCCACCUCAGCAUCUCCCUGCGGUCGAGAAGAACACCCAGUGCUGAGCUGCUUGUUUGCUGUAUCAGUGUGGAGCGUCUGCCAAGAAUGGACAUCAGCAUCUGUAGACAAGAGAGAGACCAGAUUCCUACACGUUUGUUCUGCAUGCCUACCCAGUAAGACAACAGUCAAGCCAUUAAUGUAGUGUGUACAUGAUACAGAUUCUCCACAGGAACUCCAUUCACAAGAGCAAGGCCUUUUUGGUGUCUGCCCAAAAGAAGACCUGAGCAGAUGCCUUCAAUCCCUGUACCCCAAGACCAAAUAACAAUCAUUCACAUAGGAUCCAUGAGCUGGCCCUUGUUUGCCCUCAUCCCCCAUUCAUUCUAUCUCCUAAUAAGGUGAAGAUAUUUCCUUCCAUUACAGAAUUCCUGCUUCUCGGGAAGCUUGAGCACUUAAGUCCCUAAAGAUUUCUCUCUUUUUAAAAAGAUUUAUUUAUUCUAAUAAGUACUGGAGUGGGCUUCAGACACACCAGAAGAGGGCAUCAGAUCUCAUUACAGAUGGUUGUUGAGCCACCAUGUAGUGGUUGAGAUUUGACCUCAGGACUUCUGGAAGAGCAGUCAGUGUUCUUAACCACUGAGCAGUCUCUCCAGCCCCCCUGCAUAUUUCUUAACCGGCCCUGAAGUCUGUGCUAAUCCAGUGUUCCAGAGUACUCCCCAAGAGAAGACCACAGACAUUUGCAACUCUGAUCCUGUCCAACUGAGCUUCCAGUGCUCUAAGGCAAAGAAUAAACAGGGAUUUCCAAGGCCUCUCCACGAAAUCGGUCCAGAAUCAAGCUCUGGGGAGAAAAUGGUAGCACACAGAACAAGGGGAGUAUCACAUGCUUGCCUCUCAAUAUGAUUGGUAUUUCACAGAAGGUCAUUAGUGGAGGUGCUCGGGGUCACUGUAAAUUCCUGUGCUGUAAUCUGACACUUGGCACACACUGACAGAAGUCCCUCUGACCCUUGACAGAAUGCCCUGAAGGACAUUUUUACAUUAUGACUGGAGAUGAGACCCUCAGAGGGAGAGAGGCAAUGUUCCACUGAGCAUGAGUUGGGACCUACAGAUUGAUAUCUCUACUGUUGCCCUGGGCUGUUUGGGAGUCAGUGCGAUUAUCUGAAAUAAACCCUCUUCAGUUGCAUUUCUAUCACAGUGACGUGACACUUCCAGGUUAUACUGCAUGACCAUGUGAAGCCAAGGCUCGUGUGCAAAGGGACUACCCAUGUCAUAGCCACAGUCUAGAGCAGAGGGAAAGAAAGGCCUGCAUGAGGCUUGCUUGCUUGUGCUCAUCUAGAGCUCUCUGCUGUCAUGCAGUCUGGGACAGAAGCCUAGGGAUUGGCACUACCCAAAGUGUUGUGCCUUCCAUUGUCAGUUAAGGUAAUCAAAGAGGUCCUCUACAGACAUGCUCACAGGGGACUUCAUCUAGAGGACUCCUCUGUGAAGACUCUCCCUCCAGGUCACCUCUCCUGCACUGCUUGAGAGUCUGAUUAAAGACCAUGAAUUGAUCCAGUGGCCACCACAGCUCCCAACAUUGAAAACUCUCAGACUCAUGACUAGAGGCUUCAGCUUCUCACUUUGCCUGGGCUCAAGGCUGACGCCUUGUAGUGUGUUCUCUCUGCCAGCUCAGUUUCUCCCCACAUUAUACCUGACACUGUUUUCACUCAGCCAUCAGCUCAUAACUGCUAUGUCUCUACCGUGUCCUCGAGUAAUGCCUUCCAGACAUAGAUGAAGAUUCCUCAGCAGACUUCUCUGCCUUCAUUUGAUCCUUUUUUCUGUUUCCUCUGCCAGGUCCAUUUCCAGGUGUGGAACCCCUCCCUCCAAGAAAGGAUAACAAGUGGUCGGCCUCUCUGCCCUUUCCUUCUGUUACCGUGUGCUUCUUUGAGUAGGCCCAAUUCAGUGCUACAAGUUUUUGCAGGUGAAGAAUCUGAAGGGUCUUUGUCAGUGCCAGUACACACAGAAGUACCUGACUUGUCUGGGAAGUGGGAGCCUUGGCCUUGGCACAGACAUGUGCUGUUCUCCUUCCUUGGAUGCCAGUCCGGAUCAUAUCUCUCCUGCAGACUUGCCUUGAUUGUUGACUUGGGGAUCCUCAAGCUCUCAGCUCACUUAGUUCUCUAAGGACAUGGCUUCCCUCAUCAGCAGAUCCAGAGCCCUCACACCAGAUGCUCUUAUUUACCUGUGAGUGGGACCAAGCCAACAACCUUAAUCCUGACUCAGAGAUGACGCCUCCGUCCUACAGGAGCUGGUGCAUGUGGGGUCAGGAAGGACAUAGCUCUCUGACGAUGAGGGCAGGUGGUCAUUACUGCAGAGGAUCACAUCUCAAUACCAACGCUGAUCUGGAAACACAGAGUAAAACCCUCCUCCCUGAGCAAGGUAUGCAGGAAUAUGUGAGGCUGUUGUUCACAGGAACAAAUGUCCAGGUGGAAUAUAAUGUGAUGGUGUGGUGCCCGGCAGAGGGACAAAGAUCAAGGCUCUAAUGGGCCACCUCAGCAUCUCCCUGCGGUCGAGAAGAACACCCAGUGCUGAGCUGCUUGUUUGCUGUAUCAGUGUGGAGCGUCUGCCAAGAAUGGACAUCAGCAUCUGUAGACAAGAGAGAGACCAGAUUCCUACACGUUUGUUCUGCAUGCCUACUCAGUCCAUUUCCAGGUGUGGAACCCCUCCCUCCAAGAAAGGAUAACAAGUGGUCGGCCUCUCUGCCCUUCUGUUACGGUGUGCUUCUUUGAGUAGGCCCAAUUCAGUGCUACAAGUUUUUGCAGGUGAAGAAUCUGAAGGGUCUUUGUCAGUGCCAGUACACACAGAAGUACCUGACUUGUCUGGGAAGUGGGAGCCUUGGCCUUGGCACAGACAUGUGCUGUUCUCCUUCCUUGGAUGCCAGUCCGGAUCAUAUCUCUCCUGCAGACUUGCCUUGAUUGUUGACUUGGGGAUCCUCAAGCUCUCAGCUUACUUAGUUCUCUAAGGACAUGGCUUCCCUCAUCAGCAGAUCCAGAGCCCUCACACCAGAUGCUCUUAUUUACCUGUGAGUGGGACCAAGCCAACAACCUUAAUCCUGACUCAGAGGUGAGAAUAAACUUAAAGCUCAGAGCA